UACGUAGGGACCAAGCGUUGUUCGGAUUUACUGGGCGUAAAGGGCGCGUAGGCGGCAAUUCAAGUCAUCUGUGAAAUCUCCGAGCUUAACUCGGAACGGUCAGAUGAUACUGCUUUGCUAGAGUGCAGAAGGGGCAACCGGAAUUCUCGGUGUAGCGGUGAAAUUCGUAGAUAUUGGGAAGAACACCGGUGGCGAAGGCGGCUCACUGGCUCAUUACUGACGCUCAGGCGCGAUAGCGUGGGGAUCAAACAGG
rnacentral:rRNA from 1 species